rnacentral:rRNA from 1 species
GACGGUACCGGAAGAAUAAGCACGGGUUAACUUCGUGCCAGCAGCCGCGGUAAUACGUAGGGUGCAAGCGUUUUUGGGAAUUACUGGGCGUAAAGCGUGCGCGGGCGGUUUUGUAAGUCGGAUGUGAAAUCCCGGGGCUCAACCUGGGAAUUGCUUUUGAGACUGCAAGGCUAGAGUAUGGCAGAGGGGGGUAGAAUUCCACGUGUAGCAGUGAAAUGCGUAGAGAUGUGGAGGAACACCGAUGGCGAAGGCAGCCCCCUGGGCCAAUACUGACGCUCAUGCACGAAAGCGUGGGGAGCAAACAGGAUUAG